GCAAGUCGAACGAGAAAGCACCUUCGGGUGUGAGUAGAGUGGCGCACGGGUGAGUAACACGUAGGUAACCUGCCCAUUGAUGGGGGAUAACCAGAAGAAAUUCUGGCUAAUACCGCAUAAGUUGGUAACAAGAAAGGAUGCUUCGGCAUUCGUCGAUGGAUGGGCCUGCGGAACAUUAGCUUGAUGGUGGGGUAAUGGCCUACCAUGGCUACGAUGUGUAGCUGGUCUGAGAGGAUGAUC
rnacentral:rRNA from 1 species